AAAAAGACAAACUCUGGGUUUCCGUGUCCAACUUUGAUUGUUCGUCUUAUAUAAAUUUUUUUUAUAAUUUGUAUUUUUAUUGUUGUUAGAUGAUAAAACAUGAUUAAUAUUUUAUGCGUGACUUGUCUUUUUAAUUUUUUUCAUUUUUUUUCAAAUAAUUUUUCAAAUAAGAUGGACGGUCAAACGUUGGACACGGAAACCAGGGUUUGUCUUUUU
rfam:Oryza rufipogon genomic scaffold, chr12